AUUGAACGCUGGCGGCAGGCCUAACACAUGCAAGUCGAGAGAGCGGCGGACGGGUGAGUAAUGUCUGGGAAACUGCCUGAUGGAGGGGGAUAACUACUGGAAACGGUAGCUAAUACCGCAUACCAUCAGAUGUGCCCAGGUGGUAUUAGCUAGUAGGUGGGGGAACGGCUCACCUAGGCGACGAUCCCUAGCUGGUCUGAGAUGAUGACCAGCCACACUGGACCGUAGACACGGUCACGACGCCUGCGGGAGGCACCAGUGGGGAUUAUUGCACAAUGGGCGCAAGCCUGAUGCAGCCAUGCCGCGUGUGUGAAUAAGGCCUUCGGGUUGUAAAGCACUUGCAGCGGGGAGGCGUUACCCGCAGAAGAAGCACCGGCUAACUCCGUGCCAGCAGCCGCGGUAAUUC
rnacentral:rRNA from 1 species